AUUGAACGCUGGCGGCAGGCCUAACACAUGCAAGUCGAACGAGUGGCGGACGGGUGAGUAAUAUCUGGGAAACUGCCCGAUGGGGGGGGAUAACUACUGGAAACGGUAGCUAAUACCGCAUACCAUCGGAUGUGCCCAGAUGGGGUUAGCUAGUGGGUGGGGUAACGGCUCACCUAGGCGACGGUCCCUCGCUGGUCUGAGAGGAUGACCAGCAACACUGGAACUGAGACACGGUCCAGACUCCUACGGGAGGCAGCAGUGGGGAAUAUUGCACAAUGGGCGAAAGCCUGAUGCAGCCAUGCCGCGUGUAGGAAGAAGGCCUUCGGGUUGUAAAGUACUUUCAGCGGGGAGGCGUUACCCGCAGAAGAAGCACCGGCUAACUACGUGCCAGCAGCCGCGGUAAUAC
rnacentral:rRNA from 1 species